rnacentral:rRNA from 1 species
UACGUAGGGACCAAGCGUUGUUCGGAUUUACUGGGCGUAAAGGGCGCGUAGGCGGCGUGGUAAGUCACUUGUGAAAUCUCUGAGCUUAACUCAGAACGGCCAAGUGAUACUGCUGUGCUAGAGUGCAGAAGGGGCAAUCGGAAUUCUUGGUGUAGCGGUGAAAUGCGUAGAUAUCAAGAGGAACACCUGCGGCGAAGGCGGGUUGCUGGGCUGACACUGACGCUGAAGCGCGAAAGCUAGGGGAGCGAACGGG